UUGGUGAAGAUGCAAAGGACAUUUUUUCCCCUAGAUUGAUCUGUAUAUCAAGGAAAAGUGGAGCCCAGACAAUUUCUGUAAUAACUUCUGGAGGGGCUCAUUUGUCUCAUGUCGCACAGUAUGGUUUUUGUGAGAGAAACAGAAGUGAGGAGGGAAGAAGAGAGGGAAGAAGAAGGAAUCCCUUAAUGUUCUUUGCCAUCAUGGCCUAUCCAGCUUUCAUCCAGCUUUUAAGGGAAACUAAUAUCUCAUGAAAUUGUGAGGGCCUGGAAUCUUCAAAGAGCCAAGGAUUCUGCCAGACUGAGCAAUAGACUUGAUGAGCAUUCUCCACUUAAGAUCUGAACUAUGAGAAGUCGAAUCAAAGCAGUUCUUUUGUAAUUCCAAACAGCCAUUUAGACAUAUGAAGAAAUGAAAGUAAAGCAGUUCUAAAGACAAGGAAGAGGGUCAAUGAAAGGUGCUCCCAAUGCAAUCACAAAGAUCUUUAAAAGUGGAAGAAGGUGGGAGAGGUCAGAGUGAUACGAAGAGAACUCAGUCUACCACUGCUGGCUUUGAAGAUGGAAGAAUGGGGCUAUGAGCCCUGGAUUGCGGGCAGCCUGCAGAAGCUGGGGCAGAGAUUCCACACAGGCACCUCUAGAAAAUAAUGCAGCCAGCCAAUCCUUAGACUUUAUCCCAGUGAGAGUCAAGUUGGACUUCUGACCUACAAAAGAGUAAAUAUCUAAAUUAUCUGUGGCAACAACUUGGUGGGGUCAACUCGAAUGUUUUUGUCG
rnacentral:lncRNA from 1 species